rnacentral:tRNA from 1 species
CGAAUCCACUUAGGCCCACCACCCUCAGAAGAUUCUAAGCAGGGGAUGUAGCUCAAUUGGGAGAGCGCUGCCCUUGCAAGGCAGAGGUUGGCGGUUCGAUCCCGCUCAUCUCCAC